rnacentral:rRNA from 1 species
GGUCUUUUGUUUAUAUAAAAGAUCUGGCCUGCCCUAUGAUUAAUUUUAAAUGGCUGCAGUAUUUUGACUGUACAAAGGUAGCAUAAUCAUUUGUCUUUUAAUUGAAGGCUGGAAUGAAUGGUUGGAUGAGAAAUAUACUUUAUUUAUUUUAUAUAAAAAAAUUAACUUUUUAGUCAAAAGGCUAAUAUUUUUUUAUAGGACGAGAAGACCCUAUAGAAUUUUAUUUUAUUUUAUAUAUAAAUUUUUUUGAUAUUUAUAAUUUUAUAUAUUUAUAUUAAUUUUGUUGGGGUGACAGAAAAAUUUAUAUAACUUUUUCUAUUUUAUACAUUUAUAUAUGUUUUUUUGAUCCUAUAUUAUGGAUUAUAAGAUUAAAUUACCUUAGGGAUAACAGCGUUAUUUUUUUGGAGAGUUCAUAUCGAUAAAAAAGUUUGCGACCUCGAUGUUGGAUUAAAAUAAGUAACAGGGGUAGAAUAUUGUUUACUAGGUCUGUUCGACCUUUAAAUUUUUACA